rnacentral:sRNA from 1 species
AUAAAAGGAUUUUCUGUUAAAAUCCGUCACGUCCUGUGACGAACACAGAAGUCACGACAUCCUGUNGA